AGUGAACGCUGGCGGUAGGCCUAACACAUGCAAGUCGAACGGCAGCACAGUAAGAGCUUGCUCUUACGGGUGGCGAGUGGCGGACGGGUGAGGAAUACAUCGGAAUCUACUUUUUCGUGGGGGAUAACGUAGGGAAACUUACGCUAAUACCGCAUACGCCCUACGGGUGAAAGCAGGGGAUCUUCGGACCUUGCGCGAUUGAAUGAGCCGAUGUCGGAUUAGCUAGUUGGCGGGGUAAAGGCCCACCAUGGCGGCGAUCCGUAGCUGGUCUGAGAGGAGGGUCGGCCGCACUAGAACUUAGACACGGUCCAGACUCCUACGGGAGGCAGCAGUGGGGAAUAUUAGACAAUGGGCGCAAGCCUGAUCCAGCCAUACCGCGUGGGUGAAGAAGGCCUUCGGGUUGUAAAGCCCUUUUGUGGGGAAAGAAAAGCAGCAGGUUAAUACCCCGCUGUUCUGACGGUACCCAAAGAAUAAGCACCGGCUAACUUCGUG
rnacentral:rRNA from 1 species